CUUGAAUUAUCCAAGUGAAAAUAGCAGUAGAAUGUUUUGAGAUCUGGAGCUCAAAAGAGAGGGGUGGCUGGAGAUAAAGAUUUGAAGACAUCAACACACAGUAGGAGGAGCACAUCCCUGUGAGCCUCUAAGGAGAAUUCUCUGAAGACUCAAAGGGCAUAAAGUUAUUGACAGCAAAGGUGUUUUAGCCAACUGACCUCUGCUCCUGGACAGACAGAACUAAAGCAACAAUCUAGCAAUCCUGAGAGGGAGGUACCAAUAGCAUCUCCUUUCUACAGAUGAGGAAUAUGAGACUUAGAGAAGAAACAGCUUCCCUGAGUUCACACAGCUGCCUUUUUAGACUUCUUAGUUUUCCUGGGAACACCGAACCUGACAUUUUGAGGCCUGGGACAGGUGGAAGAGGAAGUGAGAGGCCACCCCAGAUUGCUAAGGAGAGCUGAUCAGUGACAACCAGUGCCUCCCUGCAAAGGAACCAAGGUGCCCAGCAUCUCAUUUUGUGUUCUGUUCUUGCCCAGUAACGGCCACCUAUUUGUUGCCUCAUCCUCCACUACAAUCAAGAUAAGGCCCCACCAUUUUAAUAAAUGUGUUUGGACUUUUCCAGGAGAUGGUUUCUUUUUGAAUCAAGU